rnacentral:rRNA from 1 species
UACAGGGGGGGGCAAGCGUUGUUCGGAAUUACUGGGCGUAAAGGGUCUGUAGGUGGCUUACUAAGUCAGACGUGAAAUCCCUCAGCUUAACUGGGGAACUGCGUCUGAUACUGGAAAGCUUGAGUGCAGGAGAGGAACGCGGAAUUCCAGGUGUAGCGGUGAAAUGCGUAGAUAUCUGGAGGAACACCGGUGGCGAAGGCGGCGUUCUGGACUGCAACUGACACUGAGAGACGAAAGCCAGGGGAGCAAACGGG